rnacentral:rRNA from 1 species
UACGGGGGGGGCAAGCGUUGUCCGGAUUUACUGGGCGUAAAGGGCGUGCAGGCGGUUUGUUAAGUCUAGGGUGAAAGCUCCCGGCUCAACUGGGAGAGGUCCUUGGAUACUGGCAGACUUGAGGAGGGUAGAGGAGAGUGGAAUUCCCGGUGUAGUGGUGAUAUGCGUAGAUAUCGGGAGGAACACCAGUGGCGAAGGCGGCUCUCUGGGCCCUACCUGACGCUGAGACGCGAAAGCGUGGGGAGCGAACCGG